rnacentral:rRNA from 1 species
UGCAGUCGAGGGGUAACAGAAAAAGCUUGCUUUUUGCUGACGACCGGCGAACGGGUGCGUAACGCGUAUACAACUUACCCUUAACUAGAGGAUAGCCCCGAGAAAUCGGGAUUAAUACUCUAUAAUAUCACUAGAUGGCAUCUGAAGGUGAUUAAAGCUCCGGCGGUUAAGGAUGGGUAUGCGUGAUAUUAGUUAGUUGGUGAGGUAACGGCUCACCAAGACUACGAUAUCUAGGGGUUCUGAGAGGAUGAUCCCCCACACUGGUACUGAGACACGGACCAGACUCCUACGGGAGGCAGCAGUGAGGAAUAUUGGUCAAUGGACGCAAGUCUGAACCAGCCAUGCCGCGUGUAGGAAGACUGCCCUAUGGGUUGUAAACUACUUUUAUAUAGGAAGAAACCCUCUUACGUGUAAGAGGCUGACGGUACUAUACGGAUAANGACCGGCUAACUCCGUGCCAGCAGCCGCGGUAAUACGGAGGGUCCAAGCGUUAUCCGGAUUUAUUGGGUUUAAAGGGUUCGCAGGCGGGAGAUUAAGUCAGUGGUGAAAGCCUACAGCUCAACUGUAGAACUGCCAUUGAAACUGAUUUUCUUGAAUAUGAUUGAAGUUGGCGGANUGUGUCAUGUAGCGGUGAAAUGCAUAGAUAUGACACAGAACACCGAUAGCGAANGCAGCUAACUAAGUCAUUAUUGACGCUCAUGAACGAAAGCGUGGGGAGCGAACAGNAUUAGAUACCCUGGUAGUCCACGCCGUAAACUAUGAUUACUCGUUAUUGGCGAUACACUGNCAGUGACUAAGCGAAAGUUUUNAGUANUCCANNUGGGGAGUACGGUCGCAAGAUUGAAACUC